AUUGAACGCUGGCGGCAUGCCUUACACAUGCAAGUCGAACGGCAGCACGGGAGCAAUCCUGGUGGCGAGUGGCGAACCGGUGAGUAAUAUAUCGGAACGUGCCCAGUCGUGGGGGCUAACGCAGCGAAAGCGGUGCUAAUACCGCAUACGAUCUGUGGAUGAAAGCGGGGGUCUCGCCAGGGCCUCGCGCGAUUGGAGCGGGCGAUAUCAGAUUAGCUAGUUGGUGGGGUAAAGGCCCGCCAAGGCGACGAUCUGUAGCUGGUCUGAGGGGACGACCAGCCACACUGGAACUGAGACACGGUCCAGACUCCUACGGGAGGCAGCAGUGGGGAAUUUUGGACAAUGGGCGCAAGCCUGAUCCAGCAAUGCCGCGUGCAGGAUGAAGGCCUUCGGGUUGUAAACUGCUUUUGUACGGAGCGAAACGGUCUGCCCUAAUACGGUGGGCUAAUGACGGUACCGUAAGAAUGAGCACCGGCUAACUACGUGCCAGCCGCCGCCGUAA
rnacentral:rRNA from 1 species